rnacentral:rRNA from 1 species
GACAGAGGUCCCAAGCGUUAGGCGGAAUCACUGGGCUUAAAGCGUGUGUAGGCGGACUUGUAAGUACCUUGUGAAAUCCCACGGCUCAACCGUGGAACUGCUGGGUAUACUGCGAGUCUUGAGCCACCUAGGGGCGAGCGGAACAAGUGGUGGAGCGGUGAAAUGCGUAGAUAUCAUUUGGAACGCCAAUGGUGAAAACAGGUAACUGGGAGUGUGCUGACGCUGAGACACGAAAGCCAGGGGAGCAAACGGG